AUCUUCUUCCCAGCCUCCCGUCCCCUGUGCACAGUGCCUCCUUCCCGACCGCCCUCCCCGGCGCGACCCCGCCCGGCAGCCCCUCUCCAGCUCCGGCGCCCCCCCCUCCUCGGCUCUACCCCGCCCGGCGCACACCCCUCGGCGCUCAGCAGCUGGUGCCUGGUGCUUCUCAUCCCCACCUCACUCGUGCUCCGCGCCCGUUUCACCGCCUGAACAGAGAUGGAGGCCUUCCUCGCCGGUCUCUUCAGGGCGCCUCCACGCGCCGUCCCCGGCCCUCGGGGCACGCCUCUCUCCGGCCUUCCUCUCUUUCACGGCAGGCGCCGCAGGCGGCCGUCCUCGUCCGUGGUCUGCAUGGCGGAGCCCUAUCUGAUUGCCAAGCUGGAUUCUGCGGAGAAGGCCUGGAAAGAAAUGUCGGUUAGGUUGGCAGAUCCGGACAUUGUCUCAGAUCCAAGCGAAUACCAAAAACUCGCGCAGUCUGUUUCUGAACUGGAUCAGGUCGUGACCACAUACAGGCAAUUCAAGGAUUGUGAGAGGCAGCUUGAAGAGACAAAAGCUCUGGAAAAAGAGAACGAAGAUGACCCUGAUAUGUCAGAGAUGAUAACUUCUGAGCUGGAGGCUCUAUCUAACCAGCUUGCAGAGCUUGAAGAAAAAUUGAAGUUACUACUGCUUCCCAGUGAUCCUCUAGAUUCACGCAACAUCUUACUUGAAGUAAGAGCAGGUGCUGGUGGUGACGAAGCUGGAAUUUGGGCUGGUGACCUUGUACGCAUGUAUCAGAAAUACUGUGAGCGCAACAAUUGGAAGUUUAAGCCAGUUUCUUGCUCAGAAGCAGACAUGGGUGGAUACAAGACAUAUGUGAUGGAGGUGAAGGGGAAACAAGUCUAUAGUAAAUUGAAGUUUGAGUCAGGUGUACACCGUGUUCAGCGUGUUCCCCUGACAGAGACUAUGGGUCGUGUUCAUACGUCAACAGCAACUGUAGCUAUUAUGCCAGAGGCUGAUGAAGUUGAUGUGGUUAUUGAUCCAAAAGAUAUUGAGCUUAAAACAGCACGAUCUGGUGGAGCUGGAGGGCAGAAUGUUAACAAGGUGGAGACGGCUGUUGAUCUUAUUCACAAGCCUACAGGAAUAAGGAUAUUCUGUACUGAAGAGAGAUCACAGCUACAGAACAAAGAGCGGGCAUUUCAAUUGUUGAGAGCAAAACUUUACGAGAUAAAAUUAAGGGAGCAACAAGAGUCAAUAAGAAACCAGAGGAAAAUGCAGUGUUACUAAUACCUGUGCAACUGAAGGUUGGUACUGGUGCUCGAUCUGAGAAGAUAAGGACAUACAAUUACAAGGAUAACAGAGUGACAGACCAUCGAUUAAAGAUGAACUAUGAACUGACCGGCUUCCUUUUAGGAGACAUCGAAUCGGCUGUUCAGUCUUGUGCUACACUGGAGCAGCAGGAGCUCUUGGAGGAAAUGGCCAGUUCCGUGGGCGCAGUGAACGUAUGAUUCAGGCAAUUCGGCGUUGAGAUCAGGUCAUCAAAUAGAAUCAAGAAACUCAUGAUGUGUUCAAAACCGAUAAAGAUGAUUGAUAGUUGUACAAGAAACUGACAAAAUGAACUCCACAUAGGAAAUUUUUCUGUAGUCCACAUGGUCAUGAGUUCAUGACUAAUACCAUAGAACACACCCAUGCAUCUCAGCUUCCUUAACGACAUCAGAUUUUUGAGUAUUAGAAAAUAUACACGGUAUGUACAAUUCAACUGCUCCAGUAUUCACAGUUUAAUGCAUUUUAGGUUUGUUGUUCUGUGAAAUUCUUUUGUUCCCAAUGUGUAAUUCUUCAAGAAAAAAAUUGCAAAUACCCAUUUAUAAAGACGCUA